rnacentral:rRNA from 1 species
UACGGAGGGAGCUAGCGUUAUUCGGAAUUACUGGGCGUAAAGCGCACGUAGGCGGCUUUGUAAGUUAGAGGUGGAAGCCUGGAGCUCAACUCCAGAAUUGCCUUUAAGACUGCAUCGCUUGAAUCCAGGAGAGGUGAGUGGAAUUCCGAGUGUAGAGGUGAAAUUCGUAGAUAUUCGGAAGAACACCAGUGGCGAAGGCGGCUCACUGGACUGGUAUUGACGCUGAGGUGCGAAAGCGUGGGGAGCAAACAGG